UCCGCCCGGGGGUCCGCCCCUUCCGCCCGGGGGUCCGCCCCUUCCGCCCGGGGGUCCGUCUGCCUCCCCUCCCGCUGCGGUUCGCGGGCCCCUGGGGCUCGUUCUGACCGGCGUUCUGAGACUGGGGCAGCCAGGAGGGAAGACAGUCCGGGCGGCUGAGCAGACCCCGAGCCUGUGAGCGAUACGAGCACAUUUUUAUGCUAUAGACUUCUCCAGGUAAUGUCUAGGGCUUGUGUCAUCCAAGGAAGCCACAUGGUCCAGGGCUGCAGGUUGUGCAGGAUCAUUUUCUUCAUCUCUGGUACUGGGCAUAUACUGGGGCCAAGCAGUUGGGCUUGAGAGUCUUGAGCUGCCUGCAGAAAGUGUCCAGGAAAUUUGAGAAGAUGCAAGCAAAGCAUCGUGGUGAAAAGGAUGAAGAUGGGGAGAGAAUCUGGCACCGAUAAAUACAGGAUAUGAUUCUAUUUUAGUAAUCCCCUGAAGAUCAUCCUGCAGGUUUGCAGCACUUUUCUGGUUAGUUCUGUCUUUAUUUAUCUGUUAUAUCCCUUGUGCUGGGUAAAUCGACAUGUAAUUGAUUUUAGUUAAUUGCUGUGUAACACCACACAUUUACUUCUCUUCUUUUCUCAUUCAGAGAAAUUUUAUCUUCAUUUAUUUUAUACUUUAUUGAUACUGAUGCUCUUAAAUAUAUUACAUAUAAUCACUUACAAUUUUUAGAAUCAAAAUGGCACUUGCCGCUUUUGUUUACCAGAAUGAGAUGACAAAAUGGAGGAAUUAUCUUUUUUUCUAUGAAAGCAACACUAUUUUCAUAAAAAAGAAUCUUUGAAAAUAGAAAUAGUUUAAACCUACAAAUAAGCUUUAGCAUAAACUGCAAAAGCGGAGAAAUGAAAUGAAGAUGGAAUUUAUAGCUAAAAAGGAAGCACAAUGUAAAGAACUAGAAAAUUAUCAGCUUAGACAUGGAAAGGAUCAAGUCAUGUUUGGAAGAGAAUACAAAAGGUGUGGCUAAGUAAAGUUUAACAAGGAGAUGAGUGUGGAUGGAAGGAAGCCAGUGGCUGUUCAUCAAGACAAAAGGAUGACCUCAAAGACAUUUUUCAAAUCACUGAGGCUGCCCCUUCCAUCAGCCCAGAAUGCCAAGGCCUUAAGGACAAAACAGCUUCAAAGAAGGGGACUAAGGCACACCUGGGACUUCAGGGAUCACUUCUCAGGGCCACCUCAAGUCUCUGUGCCCCAAAGUCUGUUGCAGCACUUCUUUGACACGCCAGCUGUGGUUCAGGUCAGGCCAGGCAUAGCUUGGGCGGCCCUUCCCAAGGGCACUACAAGUUGUAAACCUUGACAGCCUCCACGUGCUGAUAACUUUGCAUAUUAGCAGAGUGCAAGAGCUGUGGAAGCAUGACUACCUCCAGGUAGAUUUCAAAUGAUGUCUCAGAGAGUCUUGGGACCCAGGCAUAGAACCGUCACAGGAACACAGCUGCUGCAGAGAGUCCCCACUAGGGCAGUGCCUAGUGAAGCCACGAGGACAGCUUCACCCAUAAGACCUCAGAACUCUAUCAUCACCAACAUGGAACUCCAGCCCAGGAGACUGACAGGCACUAGACUUCAGCCCCUGAAAGGUCUGAUGUGGACUUUGCCCCACAAAGCCAUGAAGGUAGGAUCCCCUGGAGCUCUGGAGAUCCAGCCACCAUGCCAGUGUGUGAAAGCAGGACAUGGAAUCAAACAUUAUUCUCAAUAAUUAAGAUUUAAUGUUGUUUGCCAUGUUUGGCUUUGGAUUCAUUUGGGACCUGUUACCACUGUCCUCUUGCCCCUUUCUUCCUUUGGGAAUAGGAAUGUCUAUUCUAUGUCUGUUCCACCUUUGUAUUCUGGAAGCACAUAAUUGUUUCAUUUCAAAUGCUCACAGCUAAAGGGGAAUUUGCUUCAGGGUGAAUCAUGCCUUCAUUCUCACCUGUAACUGGUGGAGAUGAUAUUUAGGUGAAACUCUGGACUUUAGACCUUGGAGUUGAUGCCGGAAUGAAUUAAGACUUUUGAGGCUUUUCGAUGAAAUGAAUGUAUUUUGCAUAUGAGGAGGGCAUAAAUUUGGGGGGCAGAAUGUUGUGGCUUGAAUGUGUUCCCUCUCAAAUUAAUAUAUCGAAGCCUAAUCCAAAUUGUGGUGGUAUGGGGAGGUGGUGCCUUUGGGAAGUGAUUCUUAUGUCAUGAGGCCUCCAGUCUCAGACAUAAAUUAGUGUCUUGCAAAAGGGAUACAGAGAAUAACUCAGGCCCUUAUGGCCCUUCUGUUUUUUUUGUACUACAUGAGAGUACGCCAUUCUUCCUCUCCAAAGGAUGCAUAAGCAAGGCACCAUCUUGGAAACAGAGAAACUAGGCCCUCGCCAGCCAGUGUUUUGAUCUUAGGCUUCUCAGCCUUCAGAACCAUGAGGGAAUAGUUUUACUGUUUAUAAAUUACCCAGGGUGAUAUUUUGUUGUAGCAGUACAAAGAGACUAAGACGGCUCCUUUGCCCAUUUUUAAAUUCGUUUAUGUGUAUGUUUUGCUACUGAAUUGUAUGAGUUCUUUCUUAGUUCAUUUUCUGUUACUAUAGUAGAAUAUUACAAACUGAGUAAUUUAUAAGGAAAUGUAUUUCUCAUAUGUUCUGGAGGCUGAAAGUCCAAGAGCAUGGUGCUGACAUCUGGUGAAGACCUUCUUGCGAUGUUACGUAGCCCAUGGAGAAGGGGCAAGAGGGCACACGAGCACACAAGGCACAGAGGGAAAAGAGCUGACCUCCUCUCUUCUCUCAGGAAUCCAUUCCCGACAUAACUCACCCACUCCUGAGACUAUGGCAGGAAUCCCUUAAUGGAGGAGGAGACCUCAUGGCCUGAUCACUCCUAAAGGGCACACGAGCACACAAGGCACAGAGGGAAAAGAGCUGACCUCCUCUCUCCUCUCAGGAAUCCAUUCCUGACAUAACUCACCCACUCCUGAGAUUAUGGCAGGAAUCCCUUAAUGGAGGAGGAGACCUCAUGGCCUGAUCACUCCUAAAGGGCACACGAGCACACAAGGCACAGAGGGAAAAGAGCUGACCUCCUCUCUCCUCUCAGGAAUCCAUUCCUGACAUAACUCACCCACUCCUGAGAUUAUGGCAGGAAUCCCUUAAUGGAGGAGGAGACCUCAUGGCCUGAUCACUCUUAAAGGCCCUGCUCGUUAACACCACCAUGACGGCAACCAUGUUUCCAAUGAGUAAAUUUCAGGGGAACACUUUCAAACCAUAGCAAGUUCCUUACAUGUUUUGAAUAUUUUGUAUAUUAAAUCGUUGUCAGAUGUAUAGUUUUCAAACAUUUUCUCUUAAUCUAUAGGUUGUCUUUUUUCUUUUUCUUUUUUUUGUUUGUUUGCUUUGCAGAAGCUUUUUAGUUUAAUGUAAUCCCACUUACGUAUUUUUGCUUUUGUUUUCUGUGCUUUUGUUGUCAUAUAAAAAAUUGUUCCCAGGACCAAGGGCAAGAAAAUAUUUCCUAUGUUUUCUCCUAGGAGUAUAAUUGUCUCAGGUCUUAAAUUUGAUUAUUGAAGUUGUUUUCUGUAUAUGGUAUAAGAUAAUGGUCCCACUUCAUUGUUUUUCAUGUGAGUAUCCAGUUUUUCCAACACCAUUUAUUGUAGAGACUAAUCACCCCAAUAUAUAUUCUUUGUGCCCUUCUCGAAAAUCAGUGGACUUUUUGUGUAUGAGUUUUUUUCUUGGCUCUUCAUUCUGUUCCAUUGCUCUAUGUGACUGUUUUUAAGCCAGUACCAUACUAUUUUGAAUACAAUAGGUUUGUAUUAUAAUUUGAAAUCAGGAAGUUAAUUCCUUUCUUUUUAUUUCUUAAGAUCGCUUUGUCUGUAUGUGUCUUUUUUUUUGUCAUUUCAUGUGCAUAUAGAGCUUUUUUUCCUAAUUUGGUAAAAGAUGUCUUUGAAAUUUUGAUAGGGAUUUUAUUGAAUGUAUAAUUCACUUUUGGUAGUAUGGCCUUUUUCAAUAUUAAUUCUUCCAGUUCAUAAAUAUGAGGUAUCAUUCUCUUGAUUUGUAUCUUGGGGCCUUACAGGUUUUCUACAAAUAAAAUCAUGUCAUCUACAAAGAAAAAAAAGAUAAUUUUACUUUUUCCUUUCUAUUUAUUUCUCAUGUCUAAUUGCUCUGACUAGGAAUUUCAGUACAAUAUUACACAGAAGUGGCAAGAGUAGGCAAUUGUGUUGUAUCCAAUUAUAAAGUUUUCAGUGUUUACACGUGGAUUAUGAUGUUAGCUGUGAGCUUUUUGUGAAUGCUCCUUAUUGUAUUGAGGUAAGUUCCUUUGAUACCAAUUUUGUUUAGAAUUUUUAUCAUGAGCAUAUGUUGAACUUGUCAUAGUGAAAUGUUUUGUUUACAUUUAAAUAAUGAUAGAAAAAUGUAAUCCAUUUAUGUUUAAGGUAAUUAUUAAUAGGUAAAGACUACUGCCAUUUUGUUGUUUUGACUGUUUUGUAGUUUAAUCGUUGUUUUAUUAUUUCUUUCUUGUCUUCUUUUUUAAUAUAAUUGUUUUUGUAGUGGUGUACUUUAAUUCCUUUAUCUUUUUUGUAUGUGGUACAGGCUUUGCCUUUGUAUGUUGUAGUUACUAUGAGGCUUACAUAAAGUAUCUCUUAGUUAUGAUAUUCUAUUUUAAGUUGAUAACAAUCUAACUUUUACUGCAUACAAAAACUCUACAUUUUAACUUCUCCUCCACCAACAUUUUAUGUUAUUGAUGGCACAAUUUGCCUUUUACAUGUUAAGUAUCCAUUGCCAAAUUAUUAUAGCUGGUUCUUUUGAAUACAUUUGUCUUUUUACUUUAAUAAUAGAGUUAAAAGUUAUUCAUGCACUGUGAUUACAGUAUUAGAAUAUUUGAAUUUGAAUACAGUUUUACCGUUAUAGUGAGCUUCAUUCUUUAGUACGCAUUUCUGUUGUUAGUUAGCGUCCUUUUGUUUUGACUUGAAGAGCUCCUUUACCGUUGCUUGUAAGGAAAGCCCUAAUUGUGAUGAGCUAUCACAGCUGAUUUGUCUGACACAACAGAAUUACACAUUCACUGGACAGACUGCAUGUUUGGUCAUAACACAGAUCUUCAUAAAUCUCAAAGGAUUGAAAACCUGUGACUGUGUUUUCUAACCAAAAAAAAUCAAUUAGAAAUCAGCAAUAAAACAUCUAGGAAAAUGCAAAUAUUUAGAAAUUAGACUACACAUAUUUAAACAAUUCACAAGUCAAAGAUGGAAUAAAGAGUGAUAUUAGCAGUUUUUUUUAAGUGAAUGUCAAAAAAAAACCUCACACUUCAGAAUUCAUCAAAUACGGGCAAAGAUAGCAAUCAUGAAGGAAAAAUGUAAAUACUGUCUUGAAUCUUUUAAAGCCAGGGACUUAAGGAUCUACAUUAAGAAGCUACUAAAAAGAACGAAGAUGAGCCCAGGUAAGUGAGAGGAAGGAAAGAAUUAUAAGAACAGAAAUCAAUUUUUUUAAAAGCAGAUAAACAAUAGAGAAACUUAACAAACACAAAAAUGUGUUCUUUAAAAAAGAUGAACAAAAUUUACACAUUCCUCAAAACAUUUACCAGCAAUAAACAAAGAACACAAAUCAGUAAUAUUAUACAUAAAAAUCAAGGUUAUCACAACAGAAAGAAUAUGUACAAUGUCAUUAUAAAAGGGCUGGAUAUUUUUAGGUGUGAUACACCCAGAACAUAUUUAGUCUUUAUCAUAUUACCAGUUUUAAAAUUGCCAUUUUCUUUCUUAUAUCUUCUUAAAAAUAUUAUUUUUAGAUUAAACAAAUCAACAUUUGUCUUGAUAUUUAGAAUGUUUAUUGUCAUUUUUCUUUCUACAGGCCGAUUCAGUAUACUUUUAAAUUUACGUGUUAUUUUACAACUCCCAACUGUCCACUUUAAAUAAUUUGCUAGUUUAAAAUAUAAGUAAUAUACAUUCAAAAUAUUUUACUUUUGUCCUAAAAAAAUGAAAACACCUAUUUAAGAAAAAUGUCAACAUUGAAGUAGGAUUAAGCUUUUGGAAUGCCUCUUCUCUUCUCUAUUAUAUUCACUCAUUUAAUUACUUCUGAGACAUAUCAAAAACUAAGAUGCUUUCAAAACCUUAAUAUUUUUUCCUGGAGAUAAAUCUAUUAAGAAUCUUUAUCUCUGCUCCCUCUCUGGCAAACUGGAAUGGUCUGUAUCCAGAUGUAAAUAUCAUGGAUUUUUAAAAAAUCUCUUCUUCAAGCAAAAGGCAAAGCUCUUGGAAAAGAUUAAUAUUGGCAAAUUAAGGUAUCACCAGUAGGAAAUAAAUAGAAUUCUUUUUAGGUUAUAUAUGUGUUUGCAAAUAAAUAGAAUUCUUUUUAGUUUAUACAUAUAUUUGAAGACCAGUGUUUAGAGAGUGUUUGGUGAAGUAAAAUCUUUUAAUUCGAAAACAAACAUUUGUUGAAUCAGUCCUUAAACAUUGUACUAUGUCUAUGAUCUUUUCAUUGUAUAACAAAUUAUAGCUCCUCUUUGUCUACUUAUGGCUCCUCCAUGAUACUGUGGUAACAACCCAAAUUGCCCCUAACCCAGAAGAUGAAAGUUCAUGUUGUCCCAUCUUGUACUCUUUUUUGAAGAUGAAACCAACCCUGCGACCCUAUCACCAGAUGACUGGGUCAGUUAUUCGUGAAAGUGUCAAGAUAAUUAUAUGAGAGCUAGCCAAAAGACAGAGACCACCAAGUCAAAUCUGUAAAGCGCAUACUUCCAUAUGCGUUAGCCCACAGUAAGUACUGCAGCUAUAAAUUGGAAGUGAAGAAAGAGAGUCUGCAACUUAGGAAUACUCCUUUGCACAUUAACUUUAUAUCUUAGGUCUCUAUGAUGUGCAAACAAUAAUCUCAGAACGUGUCGAACCCAAGAAGUCUGGGUGAGUGAGAAAAUGACUUUCUAUACUGCCUCUGUGUUGCUUUAUUCUGUUAAGCCAGAAUUCCUGAAUGUAUUACUAUUUUCUUAUACUUAAUACAUUUUGGGUUAUCUAUCCAUCUCACAGUAGCUUUCUCACUUGUGUAGAACUGUUCCUUGCCCAUGACAAUGUGUUUUACUUGGAGUCAAAAUUUGACUUAAUAAAUAUGAGUGUUUAUAUUAAAACAUCUUAAGUUUAUCAUUGUUAUUAAAACUGAAGUCACAAUCAGAAAUCCUUGGAAUAACUAAAAAUACCUGAGGCUAAGAGGCCUUAUAAGAAACUCAUUCUGAUAACCUAACUGAAUUCUGUGAAGAAUCUACGUAGAUGGGUAAGGGUAAUUGAAUAGGUACCAACAAGUAAAUAAUGUUGCAAGAUAACAUUUAUUAAAUAUUUACAUAUGUGGGAGUACCUGUGUUAAAUGCUUCAUAUUCAAUUAAUGUAAUUACCACAACGAAAUCUGGAAGUGGUCCUAUUUUUACUUGAAAGAGGCAUUUAUCAACUUGCCCAUGGUUAUAAUUACAGAAACAUUGGAAUAAGUCUGCUAAUCCUCAUAUAGACUGACUUCAAAGUUUAUAAUUCCAAAGCCUGUUUUAAUAUGUCCAUGCAUUACUUUCUUUUCUUUUUUUUUUUUUGAGACAGCGUUUCGCUGGGUCGCCAGGCCCCAGGCUGGAGUGCAGUGAUGUGAUCUCGGUUCACUGCAACCUCCGCCUCCCGGGUUCAAGCAAGUCUCCUGCCUCAGCCUCCCAAGUAGCUGGGACUACAGGUGCAUGCCACCACACCCACCUAAUUUUUGUAUUUUUAGUGGAGACGGGAUUUCACCAUUUUGGCCAGGAUGGUCUCGAUCUCUUGACCUCUUGAUCCGCCUGCCUUGGCCUCCCAAAGUGCUGGGAUUAAAGGCGUGAGCCACCGCGCCCAGCCUUUCCAUCCAUUAUUUUCAUCAAAAGCAGCUGAAGAACUUAUUAAACAUACAGACACCUAGUAUCCAUAUCAGACAUUAAGAAUUGUAAUCUCUGAGUUCCCAUUAGGAAGUAUAAAUACUUAAUAGAUAAUGAGAAUUCUAGGUGAUUUUGUUACUGAGAUUUUAGUAAGAUACAUAGGUUCUAGAUAAUGUGGAACAAAAUCAAAACCAAGAAGGGAAGAUUAAAUGGAAACAGCUGGAUAAGCCUGAGAAAUAAAAACAAGUGACAUUUUCAUCUAAUGUGGCUGCGCAAGAGAAUCACUUAGGAAACUUUUAAAAACAUUCAUUGGCAUUUCUCCCCAGGCUAUCCCUCCCCAGCUCCCCCCUACGCUGUCCUCCCCUAUUCCCCCCAAUAGACCCCAGUGUAUAAUACUCCCUUCCCUGUGUCUAUGUGUUCUCAUUUUUCAUCACCCACCUAUGAGUGAGAAUAUGCGGUAUUUCAUUUUCUGUUCUUGUGUCAGUUUGCUGAGAAUGAUGUUCUAUGCCAAAUGUGGGUGAAGGGGAGGAAGGGAGCAGAACACACUGCCAUGUGUGUACCUGUGCAACUAUCUUGCAUGUUCCGCACAUGUACCCCCAAAUCUAAAAUGCAAUGAAAAAAAUAAAUUAAAAAAAAAAAUUCAUGUCUUUGCUCUACCCCAGACCCAUGACAUCUGGAACCUUCACAUCAGUACUUCAGAAAUGUUCCCAGAUGAUUUUUAAUAAGAAACCAGAUUGUUCAUUAACAUAAAACUCAAACUAAUUUUGAAAGAAUUUCUGCUAUUAAAUGUGACAAUUGAACAAAUCAAAGCAGCCUCUCUGAUCUCUGUUAUAUAUAACAGAGAUUAUAUAGAAUCUCUGUUGGAGGUGUUUGGAGAGUGUCAUCUGACUAUCCUUAUUUACCGCAGUUUGCAAAGCAUGGGCAAUAUACACAUAUCUAAUAAUCCUAUUGGUAUUUGGCAAAAUAAUAGUUAAUGAUGAUAAACUUUGUUUUUCUAUUCGAGUUUUGCAUUUAUAAGAAUAAAUUAUUUUAAUUCCCGUUACAUCACAAAGAUUCCCACUGUAAUUCCUUGUCAUUGCUCAAAUUCCUGAUUGAUAAAAUAUUAUAUUUUACACCUGAAAAUUUAGAUUAGAACCAAAGGUUGAUAUAGGAAUUUUAAGAGGUACCAAGCUUAAUUACCAGAGCAAAACCACUCUAUGCUCUCAAAUCAAUUUAUAUGCCUAGAUCUAGGAAAUACAUGAAAAUGUUCUCUUUCCGUAGAAUUUAUAAACCACAUUUAUCCUUUAGUUAAAAAGAUUCUGUAUCACCAUCAGGGUGGAGGGUGGUGGAAGUAGGAAAAAGUAAAGUAGCAAAAUAUAUUUUAGAAACUGACUAGUAAGGCAUAUGAAAUACGUAAACAGAAUAUGUUACCUAUGAUUCACAAUCAUUUGGCUCUACCAUACUUGACAUUCUGUUGUAUAUUCAGUUUCAUUGAUUCCUUCUUAGAAAACUGCUAGAACUCUUAAGAAAAUAAAAAUGCCCUUUUAGAUAAACAUAUCUUUGCAUACCUAAUGCGACAUGAUUACAGCUAGAAGAGUGUAAUAGCCUUUCUUUUAACUCCAAUAAUUUGGUAUAUUUUAACUUUAUUUUUCUAAGUGUGUUUUAUUACCUGAAAUUGUCUGCAAUUAUUACAUUUAGAAAGUAGAUAAUAAAACAAUGUGGCAUUUUAAACUAUUGCUAUUUUAAAAUAACCAGAGUCUGGAAAACUCAUACAUUAUGAUACUUUAUUAGCUAUUAUAACAUCGUGGACCUCUUUUCUCUGGAAAAAAAAAAAAUGCAAGUCAGCAGAUAACUUUGGUGGUGUUGGUCCUUGAUCUAUAUCGAGAGCAAAGUUACCAACUGGAUUCAGAAAAGCAUUUGUUAUGAGUAGUCUCUGUGAUGAUUGUCUAGAGAGAAAAAUAUUUCUCUAGGGAUUCUCUAGACACAGUCAUUCUAUAAAAGAGGUCUGAGCAGUGAUUUCUUGGGUAUUACCCCAAAAGCACAGUCAACAAAAACAAAAAUAGACAAAUGAGAUUGAAUCAAACCAAAGAAUUUCUAUACAGCAAAGGAUAAAAUUAACCAAGUAAAAUAUAACACAGAGAUUAGAAAAAAUAUUUACAAAUCACACAUCAGAGGUUAACAUUCAAAAUAUACAAGAAACUCAGACUACUCAGUAAUAAGAAAACAAUCCUAUUAAAAUAAUGGGGAAAUACCUUGAAUGGGCAUUUCUUACAAGAAGUCAUACAAAGGCCAGCAGAUAUUAGGUUGGUACAAAAGUAAUUGUGGUGUAUAUUACAUUUAACGUCUCUAAUCACAGAAAUGCAGAUUAAAACCACAAUGAGUUAUCAUUUCAUAUGUGUUAGAUUAGUUGUUAUCAAAGAAUCAAAGAUAACACAUGUUGGUGAGGACUUAGAGUAAUGGGAAUACUUGUACACUCUCAGGAAAUAUUCUGUGACAAUAAUCAACAUGUAGCAAGAAGCAGAACCCUUGAAUAAACUAAUAGUUAUAAACAAUUCAAAUUAUAUGAUAAAUGUCUCCAUAUUUGUCCAUUGGCUCCUGGCAAAGGAGUAGUCUAAAACUCUUCACAGGCCCAGUUAAAACAAAACAUAAAUUUUAAAGCACAGUUACUUCCAACUGUAUUCAAAAUGGGAACUCUAAUUUAUUUUAAAGGGUAAGAUAAUUUUGAUAUGCGUAAAUCAUACUGGAAAAAAAAGGAUAACUACAGGUCAAUCUUACCUGUUAACAAACAUGCAGAAACCAUAAAGGUAUUUCAGCAGAUUAACUAAGGAAAACAGUGUAGGACUUUAGGAUGAAAUAGAUACCAGGAUGGAAUAAAACAUUAGAAUAUAUGGAUUCCCUAAAUUUGAUUAAAUUCAGAAUUUAUGCCAUAUAUGAAAUAUAUACACAUAUUAAUAGAUCUAAAAAUCACCUAUAAAAUUCAACAGCAUUAUGAAGAGAAUAAAAAAAUAAUAAUUGAAAGAACUCCCGUAAUCCUGAUAGAGUCUAGUAUCCACCUAAAGAAGGCACCAUGCUUGCUGGGGAACCAUUAGAAUUACUCCUAAUGUAGCCUCACCAUCAAUUAAUGUUCCCAUUGUUCCAAAAAUUUGACAGAUAGUUUUUAGCAAUGGUGGAAUUUUCAUUUUUCUCAAUCUGAUAAAUCCAUAAUUCUCUCUCUUAGAAUUUUAUUUUGCAUUUCCUGUUUAUAAAUUAUGUUAGGAAUCUUUUCAUAAGUUUAUUUACCAUUUUGAUUUAUCUUUUGUGAAAUGCUGGUUCACAAUUGUUGUCAUUUUUCUGUUUUUUUCUUAUGAGUUUGUUAUAUACUUGAAUGGUUAUAUAUACAUAGAAGUACAUGAAUAUAGUUUUAUUUUCUCCCUACUUUCUCUUUCUCCCCAGUCAUCUAAUUUAUAUACUUGUUGCAGUUGUUAUUUCCAGGUUGUAAUUAUAGUUUUGACACUAAUACAUCUUUUGUGAAGCAGUCUUACAAAAUUUUAAAAUAGUGGAAUUUAUCACUGUUUUUCAUUUUGGUUUGCAUGUUUUGUGUUUUAUGUAAAGAAUAAUUUAUUAUGCACAUAAUGAUGCAGUAACUGAGAAUUCUAAGCCAGUCAAAUUGGCUUGCUCCCUCACUCAUCCUGUUCAUAAAAAGGAAGAUAACUUGAAGAGGGCUGAACCAGUCAGGUGAGUCCUCACACUAGAUUGAGUCCUUCCUGAAAUUAGAGAGAAUGGAAGUGUGGGGACACUUUCACCUAUAGCAGGGUCCUUAAGUCAGAUGAUUGAAAGUCUGAGAUGGCCUGCCUGUGAAGGGGAUCAGGGAGUGAGAUCCUGAAAGUGGUUCAAUUGCUAGCAGGAAGUUGGGGACUUCAGUUCUACACACGUAAGGAACCUCAUUCUUCCAACAACCUGAUAGUCUUGGGGCAGUUCUUUCCAAUUAGGUACUCCAGAUGAAGACACAGCCAGCCGACACGUUGAUUUCAGCCUCCGGAGUCCCUUAGCAAGAAAAGUCAUCUAAAGUGUGCUGCCUUCCUGACCCACAGACACAGAAUGGAGUUAAAGUAGAGUGAAUAUUAAAUGAAGAGAAUCUUAAUGUUCAGAAUGAGUAAUACUACCCCUUCAAUUUAACAACACUUUGAAAGUAUCAAGUACUAUUCUAAUUUCUUGAAAGGCCUAUGUGAUCAACACAUAAAUAAAGGUACCAGCUGCAAGAACCCACAGAAGGAUAUUUCAGAUUCUCAUUUCAGCAAACAGACGGACACCUAAAAGUGUGGGAGCAGAAGACAUCACCAAGGAAAGCAUGUUUAAAGUGGAAUGAUACAUUAACAUGGACAACAAAAUCCUUGAUAUUCAGUCCAGACUGAAAUGUGUAAUGAAAAUAGUUGGAUGUUAAAAAAUUCAAGAGUGAGAAGUAUCAGCAAGGAGGAUCUCGUCCUUAUUAUUGAAGUAAGAUUUUCCUGACAUCAGUGCAUCCUUUUGAGUGCGUUAGCAUAUCUCUUAAGAUUUCCGUUUCGGUCUUGACCUGGGGCUUUCUUUUUCAAUGUCACUUUGAAAAAAAAAAAUCUUGAGAUAAUUCUUGGCUUUGUCAAGGAUACCAGUAACAAAAGCAUCAGCAAGUGGGUCUUGCUCUGCUUAUCAGUUUGGAGUUCAGCGGCAUGUUCACGUCUGACUGCAGCCUCACCCUCCCAGGCUCAAGUGCUCCAGUCACCUCAGCCUCCUGAGCAGCUAGAACCACAGGCUGUACAAGACGCACAGUGGCACCUGAGGAGCCCUCGGGAGACUUAAAUCAUGGCAAAAGGAGCAGAGAUUAAAUGAUUAGUGACUUCUCCAUCACGUCAUCGUUACUUCGUUUCUGUAGAAUGCCACUCUGGUGAACCCUUCCCCAGGUAAGAAAGAAAUAACAGUUUCCAUUUGGAUUCACUGAGGACCAUAUCUGCUGAAAGGUCGUCUGUAGAGCGGAAGCAUCCCAUUAGGUGAGGUUGGAAGCCUCAGAGUUGCUUGCUGCCCAGCCUCAGUUUUUCUCUUUGUGGAGAUGCAGUUACCUAUCACUGGAAAACAAAACGUCCCAUUUUCAGCCAUGUGACUGCAUCAGCUUAUGCGGAGGUAAACUCUGCUGGGCUCAGUCUAGUCUGUGCACUCCAGCUCCACAGUCAUAUUAAUUUCUAUAGAAAAGGGCUUAAAAUACACAGCUAAUGUGAAUUUAAAAAGUAUUUCAAGAAUUUUUUAAAGCUUCUCCUCUGUUUCAAAGCAACUAAAUUAGAUAUCUUUUAACAGUGAUUGACCAUAAUAAUUUAUCUGUACAACUAUCUUUCAUGUAAUAUAGCUCGUUUUUACCCCCACAUCUGUUAUACUAGUUCAUGUGAUUCUAAGGCUGUGUGUGAAUCAUAAUGGAUUAUAGUACAUUUUUUUUAAAUUAUGCUUUAAGUUGUGGGAUACACGUGCAGAAUGUGCAGUUUGGUUACAUAGGUAUACACGUGCCAUUGUGAUUUCCUGCACCUAUCAACCCGUCAUCUACAUUAGGUAUCUCUCCUAAUGCUAUGCUUCCCCUAGCCCGUCAUCCCCUAACUGUCCCUGGUAUGUGAUGUUCCCUUCCCUGUGUCCAUGUGUUCUCGUUGUUCAACACCCAUUUAUGAGUAAGAACAUGCAGUAUUUGGUUUUCAGUUCCUGUUUUAGUUUGCUGAGAAUGAUGGUUUUCAGCUUCAUCCAUGGCCCUGCAAAUGACAUUAACUCAUUGUUUUCACGGCAGCAUAGUAUUCCAUGGUGCAUUUGUGCCGCAUUUCUUUAUCCAGUUUAAUCACUAAUGGGCAUUUGAGUUGCUUCCAAGUUUUGGCUAUUGUGAAUAGUGCCGCAAUAAACGUGUGUGCAUGUGUCUUUAUAAUAGAAUUACUUAUAAUCCUUUGAGUAUAUACCCAGUAAUGGGAAUGCUCAAAUGGCAUUUCUAGUUCUAGAUCCUUGAGGAAUUGCCACACUGUCUUCCACAAUGGUGGAACAAAUGUAUACUCCCACCAACAGUGUAAAAGCUUUCCUGUGUCUCCACAUCCUCUGCAGUAUCUGUUGUUUCCUGACUUUUUAAUGAUCGCCAUUCUAACUGGCGUGAGAUGGUUUCUCAGUAUGGUUUUGAUUUGCAUUUCUCUAAUGACCAGUGAUAAUGAGCUUUUUUCAUAUUUUUGACCACAUAAAUGUCUUCUUUUGAGAAGUGUCUGUUCAUAUUCUUUUCCCACUUUUAGAUUUUUUUUCUUGUAAAUUUUUGUGUUUUUUUUUUAAAUUUGUUUAAGUUCCUUGUAGAUUCUGGAUAUUAGCCCUUUGUCAGAUGGAUAGAUUGCAAAAAUUUUCUCCCAUUCUGUAGGUUGCCUAUUUAAUGAUAGUUUCUUUUGCUAUACAAAUGCUCUUUAGUUUAUGCUCUUUAGAUCCUAUUUGUCAAUUUUGGCUUUUGUUGCCACUGCUUUUGGUGUUUUAGACAUGAAGUCUUUGCCCAUGUCUAUGCUCUAAAUGGUAUUGCCUAGGUUUUCUUCUAGGAUUUUUGUGGUUUUUGGUCUUAAACAUAAGACCUAAAACCUAAUUCUUUAAUCCAUCAUGAAUUAAUUUUGGUAUAACCUGUAAGGAAGGGGUUCAGUUUCAAUUUUCUUCAUAUGGUUAGCCAGUUUUCCCAACACCAUUUAUUAAAUAGGGAAUACUUUCCCCAUUGCUUGUAUUAGUCAGGUUUGUCAAAGAUCAGAUGGUUGUAGAUGCAUCACAGUACUUCUGAGGCCUCUGUUCUGUUCCAUUUGUCUAUAUAUCUGUUUUUUGGUGCCAAUACCAUACUGUUUUGCUUACUGUAGCCUUGUAGGAUAGUUUGAAGUCAGGUAGCGUGAUGCCUCCAUCUUUGUUCUUUUUGCUUAGAACUGUCUUGGCCAUACAGGUCCUUUUUUGGUUAAAUCUGAAAUUUAAAGUAGUUUUUCUAAUUCUGUGAAGAAAGUCAAUGGUGACUUGAUGGGGAUAGCAUUGAAUCCAUAAAUUACUUUGAGCAGUAUGACCAUUUUCAUGAUAUUGAUUCUGCCUAACCAUGAGCAUGAAAUGAUUUGUCAUGUUUGUGUUCUCUCUUAUUUCCUUGAGCAGUGGUUUGUAGUGCUCCUUGAAGAGUUCCUUCACAUUCCUUGUAAGUUGUAUUCCUGGGUAUUUUAUUCUCUUUGUAACUAUUGUGAAUGGGAGUUUACCCAAGAUUUGGCUCACUGUCUAUUAUUGGUGUAUAGGAAUGUUUGUGAUUUUUGCACAUUGAUUUUGUAUCCUGAAACUUUGCUGAAAUUUCUUAUCAGCUUAAGGAGAUUUUGGGCUGAGACAAGAGGGUUUUCUAAAUAUACAAUUUGACAUCUCUCUUCCUUUUUAAUUUCUUUCUGUUGCCUUGGCCACAACUUCAAAUACUGUGUUGAAUAGGAGUGGUGAGAGAGGGCAUCCUUGUUUUGUGCCAGUUUUCAAAGGGAAUGCUUCCAGCUUUUGCCCCUUCAGUGUGACAUUGGCUGUGGGUUUGUCAUAAAUAGCUCUUGUUAUUUUGAGAUAGUUCCAUCAAUACCUAGUUUAUUGAGAGUUUUUAGGAUGAAAGGGUAUUGAAUUUUUUUGAAGGUUUUUUUUGCAUCUAUGGAGAUAAACGUGUAAUUUUGUCAUUGGUUCUAUUUAUGUGAUAGAUUACUUGAAGUCAGCUCUGGAUGAAGCAGACCUAAUAGACAUUGACAGAAUUCUCCACACCAAAUCCACAGAAUGUAUAUUCUUCUCAGCAUGACAUCACACUUAUUCUAAAAUUUACCACAUAAUUCGAAGUAAAACACUCCUUAGUAAAUGCAAAAGAUUGGAAAUCAUAACAAACAGCCCCUCAGACCACAGUGCAAUGAAAUAAAUACUUAGGAUUAAGAAACUCACUCCAAACCACACAAUUACAUGGAAACUGAACAAUGUGACCCUGAAUGACUGCUGGGUAAGUAACGAAAUUAAGGCAGAAAUAAAUAAGUUCUUUGAAACCAAUGAAAACAAAGACACAACACACCAGAAUAUCUGGGACACAGAUAAAGCAGUGUUUAGAGGGAAAUUUAUAGCACUAAAUGCCCACAGGAGAAAGUGGGAAAGAUCUAAAAUCAACAUCCUAACAUCAAAAUUACAGGAACUAGAGAAGCAAAAGCAAACAAAUUCAAAAGCUAGCAGAAGACAAGAAAUAACUAAGAUCAGCGCAGAAAUGAAGGAGACAGAGACCUGAAGAACCCUUCCAAAAAUCAAUUACUCCAGUAGCUGUUUUUUUUUUAAGAUUAACAAAAUAGGUAUACUGCUAGCCAGACUAAUAAAGAAGAAAAGAGAGCAGAAUCAAAUAGACACAAUAAAAAAUGAUAAAGGGAGUAUCAGCACUGAUUCCCACAGAAAUGCAAACUACCCUCAGAGAAUAGUAUAAACACCUCUAUGUAAAUAAACUGGAAAAUCUAAAAGAAAUGGAUAAAGUCCUAGACACAUACAUCCUCCAAAAGACUAAACCAGGGAGAAGUCGAAUCCCUGAAUAGACCAAUAACAAGUUCUGAAAUUGAGGCAGUAAUUAAUAGCCUACCAACCAAAAAAAAAAAAAAAAGCCAAGGACCAGGCAGAUACACAGCCGAAUUCUCCCAGAGGUACAAACAGGAGCUGGUACCAUUUUUUCUGAAACUAUUCCAAACAAUAGAAAAAGAGAGACUCCUUUCUAACUUAUUUUAUGAGGCCAACAUCAUUUGAUACCCGAACCUGGCAGAGACACAAAAAAAAAAAAAUUUCAGGACAAUAUCCCUGAUGAACAUCAAUGAGAAAAUCCUCGAUAAAGUAAAAAUUCAUUUUAAAAAGUAUUUUUAAAGCAUAUUGACAUCCAGGAAGGACUGAGGGGAAGGGGUUAAGUAUCUGCUAUGACUAAAUUUGAAGUCAAACGCAAUGACAUUGUUAACUAUCUACAGUUAGUAUAAGAUUUUCAAUUUAAGACAAUUUUUUUAAAUGAGUAAUUACCAACAAUCCAAACACAAGAAAAAACACUAGAACAUUUUCUGAAUGUAAUUUUAUGUAUUAGACAGAUGUUCAGUUAUAGAGAGAAAAUAAUAAGAAGGACGCAGGGUUUUAUCAAGUAGCCAAUGAGAAAUUCUUGGGUGAUAUUAAAAUCUAACAAUGACCAGACUUCUAGUUCAGAAAGACUGUGCUGGGAAAAAGUGUGGGGAAUGAAUUUGAGUGGGAUAAGGAAGCAAGCAGGAAAAGGAAUUACACGUUUGGUGUUUGAUGGUUACGGUACACUUGUAUUUUCACUAACCUGGUGUUUCAGCAGUACUGUAUAAAUUUAGAACUGAAUCAUAUUAAUUCAUUCUGACAUGAAUUCUAAACAUGCUUACUGAAACCAAAAUUUGAGAUUAAAAACAAACAAACAAAGAUGAUUUAAAAAGCACCUCUUGUUAAGCCAAGACCUUAGUAAGAGCAGUAUCAAUAGCAUCUGUUAGGCAUGAAGGACAUUUUCCUGUUAGGCUGUGAGCCGAGAAAUAGAAAUGAAUUAACACACAUAGAGAAGGCUGUCGCUGCUUUCAAGCACAAGUCACUUCAUUGUCCAGAUCUCUGGCAUUCCAGGCAGGUGUGCCAAGUCCCAACACUUCUCACUAGAAAAAUCAUGACUGCUACUUUACAGAAGGGCAGACUGAAACAAACAUGUGAGCCACCUGCAUAAAUUCCUAAAACAAUUUAGUGAAAGGCGGACAAAACUGCUAUGUCUUGAGUGAGUCCAGGGUCGAUGCUUUACUAAGAAUGGUCAAAUGUUGACUUUCAAGGUAUUUUUUUUUAGAUUCUGAUCAAUGGAGAAGUGGAGCCUUCAAAAUUUCUCCUCAUGGAGGCUAUUAAUAUUUGUUGCGAUAUUCUUUUUAUAAUGCUUCAUAGUUUUUUUUUUUUUCUCAAAUCACCUUGAAUAAUGUACUUAGCGUAGCAGUUGUGGUUCUACUUGAGACCUGGCUAAGACUGAGCUUGACAUAAUCAAGCUACUAAGGCAUUUGCCUCAUGUCUGCAUUAAAUAGUAAAGAAGAACUGGGAGACAACAUUGCAGGUAGAAAAGCUACUUUUCAUAGAGGACGGUAGCAGCAUUGAUAGUGAUAUAGUCCAUCCUCCUUCCAUUGAAUUUUGAACAGUACAUAAUUAUAAGGAGACUAAGGAUAAAGGACAUAACGGAUCAUACUUCUGAGUGCAUGUGAGGUACCCAUACAUGACGACACAGAGCUACGGUGAACAAAUUCUGGAGACACAGAGGCCCUGCAAUUGUUUCACUGCUGGUUAAUUUGUUUAUUUCGUAAAUGCAACUUUCUCUGUAUGAACAUCAGUUUGUUACUACAUCAGGAAUAAAACAGUUGGCGAUGUGUAUCGCAGUGGACUAGCUUAGGAGUAAUCCAUGAAUUCUCAAUUCAUCAAGAAAGUGAAAAGGAAAUAUACAAACUGAGAGAAAAGUUUCCCGUGCCCUAUGUCUGAUAAGGGCUUGC